UGCACUCACAAGGUAGCCUUCACGUGGCGAGUGUGUUAAGUAAUAAGUUAAUAACAAAUCUUCCAGUUUGUACUUAUGAAAACUAAUACCUU
rnacentral:ribozyme from 1 species